CCAUCGGUGGUUUAGUGGUAGAAUGCUCGCCUGCCACGCGGGCGGCCGGCCCGGGUUCGAUUCCCGGCCGAUGCA